UUGAACGUUGGCGGCAUGCCUUACACAUGCAAGUCGAACGGCAGCGCGGACUUCGGUCUGGCGGCGAGUGGCGAACGGGUGAGUAAUGUAUCGGAACGUACCAUUCAGUGGGGGAUAACGCAGCGAAAGUUGCGCUAAUACCGCAUAUUCUGUGCGCAGGAAAGCAGGGGAUCGCAAGACCUUGCGCUGAUUGAGCGGCCGAUAUCAGAUUAGCUAGUUGGUGAGGUAAAGGCUCACCAAGGCGACGAUCUGUAGCGGGUCUGAGAGGAUGAUCCGCCACACUGGAACUGAGACACGGUCCAGACUCCUACGGGAGGCAGCAGUGGGGAAUUUUGGACAAUGGGCGCAAGCCUGAUCCAGCCAUGCCGCGUGAGUGAAGAAGGCCUUCGGGUUGUAAAGCUCUUUCGGCCGGGAAGAAAUCGUAUGGGUUAAUACCCUGUGCGGAUGACGGUACCGGCAUAAGAAGCACCGGCUAACUACGUG
rnacentral:rRNA from 1 species